AGAUAAGUAAAAAAAAAAUAAGCUUCUAACUUAUUAUUUUAGGUGUUAAUUCAUCUU
rnacentral:tRNA from 1 species